AGGAUGAACGCUGGCGGUCUGCUUAACACAUGCAAGUCGAACGGAGUACCUCGGUACUUAGUGGCGGACGGGUGAGUAACGCGUGAGAAUCUGCCCUUAGGUCGGGGACAACCAUUGGAAACGAUGGCUAAAUACCGGAUAAGCCGAGAGGUAAAAGAUUAAUUGCCUAGGGAAGAGCUCGCGUCUGAUUAGCUAGUUGGUGAGGUAAAGGCUCACCAAGGCAUCGAUCAGUAGCUGGUCUGAGAGGAUGAUCAGCCACACUGGGACUGAGACACGGCCCAGACUCCUACGGGAGGCAGCAGUGGGGAAUAUUGGACAAUGGGCGAAAGCCUGAUCCAGCAACGCCGCGUGAGGGAUGACGGCCUUCGGGUUGUAAACCUCUUUCAGCAGGGACGAAGCGAAAGUGACGGUACCUGCAGAAGAAGCACCGGCCAACUACGUGCCAGCAGCCGC
rnacentral:rRNA from 1 species